AGGACUAGCUAAUUGACGGUGGACGCCCGGCCGGCCAGGGUAUUUCGAGUCAUGGACUGGGAUGAGUUUAGGAACCUUAGGAAGGAGCGAACGAGCACAUUUUUCUCGUUUGGCGAGGCUAUGGGCUCGCUCACGGAGGACGUAAAGAGGGCUACUAAGAUAGUACAAACGGAAUCGGAGGUCCCAAGAAUAGACCCGCACCUAGCGCACCUGUUGGGGGCCAAAUCCUCGAUUCUGAUGAGGUGGAAAACACAACGGCUAAAACG
rnacentral:lncRNA from 1 species